rnacentral:piRNA from 1 species
UCCUGGCCUUGGACAGAAUCUGGUGCUGGU